rnacentral:rRNA from 1 species
AUUUACAUAUAAUCUAGAAUAUAGUAACUUAAGAUAUAAAGUGUUGUUUUUGGGGUAUCAAAAGAAUACCUAGGUAUGAAAUAAAAAGACGUAGCGUUAUACGAAAAGUCAUGAUGAGAACGCAUAUCUAUGAUUCAUGAGUUUCUUUUAGUGAAAACUAUCUUGUUUUGAAUUAAUUUACUGAGUGAAUUGAAACAUCUUAUUAGCUCAAGGAAAAAAAAUCAACCGAGAUUUCGUGAGUAGUGGUGAGCGAAAACGAAUUAGAGUAAAAACAAAAAAAUGAAUAAAAAAGCUUGAAAAAGCAUACCGAAGAAGGUUAAAGUCCUGUUAUAUUCAUGAUUUGUUUAAAAUAGUAGAAAAGAACAUGUAAUUUUUUUUGAACAUUGGGGAACCAUACCUCGAACUCUAAAUAUAAUUUCAUAACCGAUAGAAAAAAGUACUGUGAAGGAAAGGUGAAAAGAAUCCUUGGAUGGAAGUGAAAAGAUCUUGAAUUUUGUUACCUUCAACUAAUCGAAGUUUUGUUCAUACAAAAUUACGGUGUGCCUUUUGUAUCAUGUUUUAGUGACUUUAUUAUUAUAGCAAGCUUAAGUUGUUAAACGAAAGCAAAGUAAAAGCAAGAUUGAAUAGAACAUAGUUUUAGUUAUAAUAAUAAGACCCGAAUCUGAGUGAUCUAGUCAUGAGCAGGUUGAAAGUAUAUGAGAAUAUAUGGGAAGACCGAACUCGUAGCUGUUGCAAAAGCUUGAGAAGACUUGUGAUUAGGAGUGAAAGGCCAAUCAAACUCAGUGAUAGCUGGUUCUUUGCGAAAUAUAUGUAGGUAUAGCAUAAAACAUUAGUAAUAAGAGGUAGAGCACUUUUUAGACUAGGGAGGCUAAUACCCUUACUGAAUCUUGGAAAACUUCGAAUGCUUAUUAUAUAGUUUUGUAGUCAGACUUUGGGUGCUAAGGUCCAUAGUCGAAAGGGAAACAGCCCAGAUUAUUAGUUAAGGUCCCUAAAAGAUAUCUAAGUGAGAAAGAAAGUAAAAAAGUUUUGACAAUUAGAAGGUAGGCUUGGAAGCAGCCAUUCUUUAAAAAAUGCGUAAUAGCAUACUAAUUGAAAACAUUAUGUUUAAACUUUUUUGCGUCGAAAAUUCAGAAGGACUAAAGAUAUUUACCGAAACUAUAAACUCUGUAAGAGUGGUAGCAAAGCGUUUUUUAAGUCGUAGAAAGUGAUUUGUAAAAAUUACUGGAGAUAAAAAAGUGAAGAUACUAAAAUGAGUAGCGAAAAACAAUGUAAAAAACAUUGUAGCCGAAAAUUUGAGGUUUUCUACAUAAAGUUAAACUGUGUAGAGUUAGUCGGUCUCUAAGAUAUUAAUGCGAAAGCAGAAUUCGAUGAGGUUUUUUAAUAAAAAUAAUAUAUAAAGUGACAGGUUUUCUUAAACCAUAAGAUAGAAAAUGGAUUGUUUUAUGGUAAACAAAAUUUCAAGAAAAACUUUAUAUUAAUAAAUACCGUACUUAGCCGACAAAGGAAAAUAGAUUUAAAGAUUAAGGCUUUUGGGUGAAUCAUUCUUAAGGAACUCGGCAAAAUAAUUCUGUAACUUCGGGAGAAAGAAUACCUUUUUAAUUAAAGGUGGCACAAAAAAAAGGAUAGCGACUGUUUACUAAAAACACAAGACUUUGCAAAAUUGUAAAAUGAAGUAUAAGGUUUGAUGCUUGCCCAAUGCUGUAAUGUUAAAUGGAGACGUUAAAUGCGUCGAAAUGAAGCUUCAGUGAAUGGCAGUCGUAACUCUAACGAUUCAAAGGUAGCGAAAUUCCUAGCCAGUUAAUUGCUGGCCUGCACGAAUAGCAUAACGACUUUCCUACUGUCUCAAGAAUGAUCCCAGCGAAAUUAGAGUCUGCGUGAAGAUACGCAGUAGCAAAAAUAAGACGGAAAGACCCUAUAAACCUUUACUAUAGUCUUGUAUUGUUAUGAUUUAUUUUUUGUGUAGCCUAGGUGGGAGCUGUUAUUAGGUCUUAACGCUAGUUAAUUACUGAAGCAUUCAUGAAAUACCACUCUAAAAAUAAAAUCUAACUAAUUAUUUGAAUAAGAAAAUGCAAGAUGUUUAGUUUAACUGGGGCGGUAGUCUUCUAAAAAGUAACGAAGAUCUGCAAAGGUAAGUUUAGAUUCAGUAGAAACGAAUUAAAAGGUAUAAGCGCAUAAACUUGCUUGAUUGGAAGAGAUACAACUCGACCAAGGACGAAAGUCGGCGCUAGUGAUCCGGAAAUUUUCAAUGGAAAAGUUUUCGCUCAAGGAAUAAAAGGUACUUUAGGGAUAACAGGCUAAUGACUCUCAAGAGCUCCUAUCGACAGAGUCUUUUGGCACCUCGAUGUCGAGUGCGAUUCGUUUCAGGUAAUUUUAUCGUAAAGAAGGGUAAAAGUAAACUGAGGACCAAAUAUCCGAAGUGAUAUAAAGUCUAACUAAAAUAAUUUGAGGUGAAAAUCCUCCGUCCAAAUUCAUCUGGACGAAAACACCGACUCAAAUAGAACUUAUUUGAGUGCAACCCUUCCUUUAAGAAGAUAGGUACUUCUUAGAAGCGAGAAGCUGGGCGGUAAAGCAAGUGAACUUGCACUGUUAGCAAGGUAAAUUGUGAGUUAAAGUCAUAUGAGUUGAAGAACAUGAACCA